GUCGAGAAUAAUUCACAAUGGGGGAAACCCUGAUGGUGCAACGCCGCGUGGAGGAUGAAGGUCUUCGGAUUGUAAACUCCUGUCAUCCGAGAGUAAGACCUGGCGGUGAAUAGCCGACAGGGUUGAUAGUAUCGGAAGAGGAAGGGACGGCUAACUUCGUGCCAGCAGCCGCGGUAAUACGAAGGUCCCUAGCGUUGUUCGGAAUCACUGGGCGUCAAGGGAGCGUAGGCGGCAUGGUAAGUCAGGUGUGAAAUCCCGGGGCUCAACCCCGGAACUGCACCCGAUACUGCCAUGCUAGAGGGUUGGAGAGGUGACUGGAAUUCUCGGUGUAGCAGUGAAAUGCGGGGAUAUCGAGAGGAACACUCGUGGCGAAGGCGAGUCACUGGACAACAUCUGACGCUGAGGCUCGAAGGCUAGGGGAGCAAAAGGGAUUAGAAACCCCUGUAGUCC
rnacentral:rRNA from 1 species